UUGGAGGGCAAGUCUGGUGCCAGCAGCCGCGGUAAUUCCAGCUCCAAUAGCGUAUAUUAAAGUUGUUGCAGUUAAAAAGCUCGUAGUUGAAUUUCGGGGUUCUACCGUUGGUCGGGCUAUUGUCUGUACUGGCGUGUAGAAUUUCUACCUUCUGGGGAACUAUCAUGUUAUUAAUUUAGCGUGGUAGGAAACCAGGACCUUUACCUUGAAAAAAUUAGAGUGUUCAAAGCAGGCUUAUGUCUGAAUACAUUAGCAUGGGAUAAUAAAAUAGGACGGUGGUCCUGUUUUGUUGGUUUCUGAAUCACCGUAAUGAUUAAUAGGGAUAGUUGGGGGCAUUAGUAUUCAAUUGUCAGAGGUGAAAUUCUUGGAUUUAUUGAAGACUAACUACUGCGAAAGCAUUUGCCAAGGAUGUUUUCAUUAAUCAAGAACGAAAGUUAGGGGAUCGAAGACGAUCAGAUACCGUCGUAGUCUUAACCAUAAACUAUGCCGACUAGGGAUCGGACGAUGUUAACUUUUCUUGACUCGUUCGGCGCCUUACGGGAAA
rnacentral:rRNA from 1 species